UGGGGAAUAUUGCACAAUGGAGGGAACUCUGAUGCAGCGACGCCGCGUGAGUGAUGAAGGAAUUCGUUUCGUAAAACUCUGUUCUAUGGGAAGAAAAGGACUGUACCAUAGGAGAAAGCUCCGGCUAAAUACGUGCCAGCAGCCGCGGUAAUACGUAGGGUGCGAGCGUUGUCCGGAAUUACUGGGCGUAAAGAGCUCGUAGGUGGUUUGUCGCGUCGUCUGUGAAAUCCCGGGGCUUAACUUCGGGCGUGCAGGCGAUACGGGCAUAACUUGAGUGCUGUAGGGGAGACUGGAAUUCCUGGUGUAGCGGUGAAAUGCGCAGAUAUCAGGAGGAACACCAAUGGCGAAGGCAGGUCUCUGGGCAGUAACUGACGCUGAGGAGCGAAAGCAUGGGUAGCGAACAGG
rnacentral:rRNA from 1 species